AACGAACGCUGGCGGCAGGCUUAACACAUGCAAGUCGAACGCACCUUUCGUGGUGAGUGGCAGACGGGUGAGUAACGCGUGGGAAUCUACCCUUCUCUACGGGAUAGCUCCGUGAAACUGGAAUUAAUACCGUAUACGUCCUGAGGGUAAAAGAUUUAUCGGGGAAGGAUGAGCCCGCGUUGGAUUAGCUAGUUGGUGGGGUAAAGGCCUACCAAGGCGACGAUCCAUAGCUGGUCUAAGAGGAUGAUCAGCCACAUUGGGACUGAGACACGGCCCAAACUGCUAGGGAAGGGAGGAGUGGAGAAUAUUGGAGAAUGGGCGCAAGCCUGAUCCAGCCAUGCCGCGUGAGUGAUGAAGGCCCUAGGGUUGUAAAGCUCUUUCAGUGGGGACGAUAAUGACGGUACCCACAGAAGAAGCCCCGGCUAACUUCGUG
rnacentral:rRNA from 1 species